rnacentral:rRNA from 1 species
CCUACGGGUGGCAGCAGUGAGGAAUAUUGGUCAAUGGACGCGAGUCUGACCCAGCCAAGUAGCGUGAAGGAUGACUGCCCUAUGGGUUGUAAACUUCUUUUAUAUGGGAAUAAAACGUUCCACGUGUGGGAUUUUGUAUGUACCAUAUGAAUCCGGAUCGGCUCACUCCGUGCCAGCAGCCGCGGUAAUACGGGGGAUGCGAGCGUUAUCCGGUUUUAUUGGGUUAAAAGGGUGCGUAGGCGGAUUUUUAAGUCAGCGGUAAAAUGUCCGGGCUCAACCCGGGCCGGCCGUUGAAACUGGGGAUCUUGAGUGGACGAGAAGUAUGCGGAAUGCGUGGUGUAGCGGUGAAAUGCAUAGAUAUCUCGAAGAACCCCGAUUGCGAAGGCAGCAUACCGGCGCCCGACUGACGCUGAGGCACGAAAGCGUGGGUAUCGAACAGGAUUAGAUACCCGAGUAGUC